CCGCGCUUGUUGUUCUAAAUCCAACUUCCCAACAUCUCUUCUUCUUCUUACACCCAAAUCGAUUUUUUUUUUUCUUUUUUUUUUUUGGUUAACUUAAGAGUUCCAAUUUUUCUGAGAGCAAUGAUCAAAACAGAUGAAUUAUAUAAUUAGUCUCCUGUUUCCGUUAUGGCCUAUAUGGAAAUUUUGAUUGACAUGAGGAUUAAAAAACAAAACUCAAAAACGUUUUCCUUUUCCUCGCACGUACCGUGAAA
rnacentral:lncRNA from 1 species